AUAUGAAGUCUCAGAGCCGGGUGUUGGUUCCGGUAGAGAUCGAGGGAAGUUAGUACCGAAGUCUGGGAUGGAAGAUGGCGAGAAAAGCUGUGUGGAUUUCUGAGGUGCCCGUACCGCAAACCGACACAGGUAGGUAGGAAGAAGAUUCUAAGGCCAACGGGAGAAGGGUUGUUAAGGAACUCGGCAAAUUGACCCCGUAACUUCGGGAGAAGGGGUGCUCCAGAGAUGGAGCCGCAGAGAAUCGGCCCAAGCAACUGUUUACCAAAAACACAGGUUUGUGCUAAAUCGAAAGAUGACGUAUACGAGCUGACGCCUGCCCGGUGCUGGAAGGUUAAGAGGAGAUGUGCAAGCAUUGAAUCGAAGCCCCAGUGAACGGCGGCCGUAACAAUAACGGUCCUAAGGUAGCGAAAUUCCUCGUCAGGUAAGUUCUGACCCGCAUGAAAGGCGUAAUGAUUUGGGCACUGUCUCAACAGCCCGCCCGGCGAAAUUGUAGUACCGGUGAAGAUGCCGGUUACCCGCGACAAGACGGAAAGACCCCAUGGAGCUUUACUGUAGCCUAAUAUUGGGUUUCGAUGUUGCAUGCACAGGAUAGAUGGGACUCUGGGAAACCAGUGCUUUGGCGCUGGCGGAGAGGCCGUUGGGAUACCAUCCUUGCGAUAUUGGAAUUCUAACCUGCGACUCUGAAUCGAGUCGGGGGACAUUGUUAGGUGGGCAGUUUGACUGGGGCGGUCGCCUCCUAAAAAGUAACGGAGGCGUUCAAAGGUUCGCUCAGCUUGAACGGAAAUCAAGCAAAAGAGUGCAAACGCAGAAGCGAGCCUAACUGCGAGACUGACGGGUCGAGCAGUAACGAAAGUUGGAGUUAGUGAUCCGGUGGUAUGUGAGUGGAAAUGCCAUCGCUCAACGGAUAAAAGUUACCCUGGGGAUAACAGGCUGAUCUCCCCCAAGAGUCCACAUCGACGGGGAGGUUUGGCACCUCGAUGUCGGCUCAUCGCAUCCUGGGGCUGUAUUCGGUCCCAAGGGUUUGGCUGUUCGCCAAUUGAAGCGGUACGCGAGCUGGGUUCAGAACGUCGUGAGACAGUUCGGUCCCUAUCUGUCGUGGGCGCAGGAUAUUUGAUGGGAGCUGUCCCUAGUACGAGAGGACCGGGACGGACGUACCUCAGGCGCACCAGUUGUUCUGCCAAGAGCAUAGCUGGGCAACUACGUACGGAUCGGAUAAACGCUGAAAGCAUCUAAGCGUGAAGCCGACCCAAAGAUAAGAUAUCCCACUGUUUCAAACAGGUAAGAUCCCUUGAAGACUACAAGGUUGAUAGGCACGAUGUGUAAGUGGAGUGAUCCAUUCAGCAAGCGUGUACUAAUAGAUCGAGGGCUUGACCU
rnacentral:rRNA from 1 species